rnacentral:rRNA from 1 species
GACGUAGGGCGCGAGCGUUGUCCGGAUUUAUUGGGCGUAAAGAGCUCGUAGGCGGUUUGUCGCGUCUGCUGUGAAAACCUAAGGCUCAACCUUGGGCUUGCAGUGGGUACGGGCAGACUAGAGUGCGGUAGGGGAGACUGGAAUUCCUGGUGUAGCGGUGAAAUGCGCAGAUAUCAGGAGGAACACCGAUGGCGAAGGCAGGUCUCUGGGCCACUACUGACGCUGAGAAGCGAAAGCAUGGGGAGCGAACAGG